UGAGAUGAUCACACAAGAAGUCUUUUAUCACUUUGGCGGCUCUGAGCCAGAGCUGCUUGUGGUGGAAGUCGCCGGGACUGUAACCCCGGGCUGUCAUGGGACGAGAGUCAAGCUCAGGCUGUCAGCAAGGCGAGUUGCAGCAGUCGGAGCCCCUGCCAGGACACGUCAGUACUUCUGACUGCUUCCCCUGGUGCUGCUCUCAUUAAGGAAAAGGUAUUUGUUGAGGAAGGAGGGUCCUGCUGAGCUAUGAGACUGCUGGUCUCCAGCCACUCUCGCUCACAGCUUCUUCCCCACAUCGUUUCACAACAUCAGACAACAACACCUUGAAGAGGGGACUGUGACUCUGAGCCCAAGAAGUCACAUUCCCCAGAGGGUUAAAGGAAGAUGUGGGUGGCACAGAAGGAUCUCCUCUGACUGAAGGACUGCGAGACUCAGAGGAGCCAUGUUGUGCAUCUCUUAUCCGUGUUGACUAAUAUUUGGACCCCUCCAGGCAAGUACCGGUCGGCAAGGAAGGGUGGGGAGAUGGGGCUAGUCCAGCUCACUUUCAGAGCAAGGUUCAGUGUGCUGUUGUUUAAUGGAGAUGUUUAGAUACGCCAGCAGCUGAGCCACACACAUCCAUGAGCAAUCUCCACGUAACCCUGAGGACCUCCAGGGACAAGACACUAAAGUGGCUGACGGGCUGAAAUGACACC